rnacentral:rRNA from 1 species
AUUGAACGCUGGCGGCAGGCUUAACACAUGCCAGUCGAGCGGAGAUGAGGUGCUUGCACCUUAUCUUAGCGGCGGACGGGUGAGUAAUGCUUAGGAAUCUGCCAUUUAGUGGGGGACAACAUUCCGAAAGGAAUGCUAAUACCGCAUACGUCCUACGGGAGAAAGCAGGGGAUCUUCGGACCUUGCGCUAAAUGAUGAGCCUAAGUCGGAUUAGCUAGUUGGUGGGGUAAAGGCCUACCAAGGCGACGAUCUGUAGCGGGUCUGAGAGGAUGAUCCGCCACACUGGGACUGAGACACGGCCCAGACUCCUACGGGAGGCAGCAGUGGGGAAUAUUGGACAAUGGGGGGAACCCUGAUCCAGCCAUGCCGCGUGUGUGAAGAAGGCCUUAUGGUUGUAAAGCACUUUAAGCGAGGAGGAGGCUACUGAGAUUAAUACUCUUGGAUAGUGGACGUUACUCGCAGAAUAAGCACCGGCUAACUCUGUG